UGAUUGAAUCUUCUGUAAUCAAAAAAAUCAUGUUCACUAAAAUUUAAUGUCUUAGCAGCUCAAAACAUGCAUAAAUUAGGGAAUAUAUAUAUAAAGAUUUAAAAGAUUUAUUUAUUUAUUUGAAAGGCAAAGUUAGAGAGAGAGAGAGAGAAUCUUCUAUCCUAUGGUUCAUUCCCCAAAUGGACAAAACAGCCAGCACUGGGCCCAGUUGUAGCCAACAGCCCAGAACUCUAUCUGGGUCUCCCUCAUGGGUGGCCAGGGCCCAACUUGGGCCCUCUUCCUAUGCUUUCCCAGGCACAUUAGCAGUGAGCUGGAUCAGAAGUGGGGCAGCCAGGACUCAAACCGGUGCUCAUUUGGGACACUGGAGUGGCAGGCAGUGGCUUAACUCAUUCAUUGUACCACAACACCAUCCCAGGAAUAUUUUAAGAUAUUUUAAAGAGAACAUACUAGAGAAGAAACUAAGAUUUCUUAGGCUCUACUGUGUAGGUUAUCCUGUAAUCUUUUUUUUUUUUUUUUUUUUUUUUAAGAUUUAUUUUAUUUGAGAAGCAGAAGGGGAAGGGUGGGGGAAGGGGGUGAGGGAAAGAAAGAUGCUGGUUCACUCCCCAAAUGGCCACAAGAGCCAGAGCUGGGCCAGACUGAAGCCAGGAGCUUCAUCUGGGUCUCCCACGUGAGUGGCAGGGGCCCAAGCACUCAGGCCAUCUUCUACUGCUUUCCCAGGCCAUUAGCAGGGAGCUGGAUUGGAAAUGAAGCAACUGAGACUCAAAUCUGUGCUCUGACAUGGGAUGCAGGUGUGAGAAGCAGCAGCUUAACCCACUGCUCCAUGAUGCUGGCCCCAGAAUCUUUUUCUUUAGUACUGCUAUAUAACUGUUUAUCGUGGAUAAAUUUAAAAGAUUUUUUUUUCUCUAAUGUAGUUAUAACAGUGUAUGUCUUUUGUACCUAAAGUAAAAAGAGCUGGGGCUUAAGGAAUGAAGAGGCUGCUGGCGGGCAGAAGGUAAUCCUGUUCAGCAUAGGACAGCCAUGCUGGUGAGGAAUGAUUGAUUGCUUACAUCAUGACAAUUAUCCACAACUUCACAGCUCCCAGAGACAUUCUGUACAUCCCAACUCACCGAACGAGAGCACCCAAUGCUAGUCUAUGCUUCUAAAGAGCAGGUUCCCAUCGCAUAAACCACUGUAUG
rnacentral:lncRNA from 1 species